UUCUGUUCUAUCUUUAGCCUCUACUUCUUAUUCUAGUUCUCUUGCUACUUCCACAUCUGCAGUUAUUUCCUCCACUGAAUUCUUGAAUCCCUUAAAGUCAUCCAUUAGGAUUUGAAUCAACAUCUAUAGCAGCUAUAACCUCAUGAAAUGUAUUUCUCAAAUAAUAGAUCUUGAACGUCAAAAAGCCCCCUUGAUCCAUGGGCUAGAUGGUAUGUUAUCAUGCAUAAAAAAAUUAAUCUCUUUGUAUAUCUCCAUCAGAGUUCUUGAGUGGUCAGGUGCAGUGUUAAUGAAGAGUAAUAUUUUGAAGUGAAUCCCUUUUUUGAGCAGUAGGUCUCAACAGUUAGCUUAAAAUAUUCAGGAAACCAUGCUGUAAACAUAUUCUGUCAUCCAAGCUUUGUUGUACCAUUGAUGGAGCACAGGUGGAGUAGAUUUAGCAUCAUCCUGAAGUGCCCUAGGAUUCUCAGGUUAAGCAUUAACUUCAACUUAAACGUCAACAGCUGGUUUAGCCCCUGAAACAACUAGUCAGUCGGUCCUCUGAAACUUUGAAACCAGGAAUAGUCUUCUCUCAGCUAUGAAAGACAUAGAUGGCAUCUUCUUCUAGUAAAAGUCUGUUUUGUCUGCAUUAAAAAUCUGUGAUGUAGUUUUCCUGCCAUCAUCAGUUAUCUUAGCUAGAUCUUCUGGAUCACUUACUGCAACUUCUAUAUCAGUGCUUGCUGCUUCACCUUGCACUUCUGUGUUAUGGAGAUAGCUUCUUUUAUUAUCGUUA